AUCCUAUGGGGCGCAGCAGUGAGGAAUAUUGGUCAAUGGCCGGAAGGCUGAACCAGCCAAGCCGCGUGAAGGACGAAGGUGCCAAGCAUUGUAAACUUCUUUUGUCAAGGGACAAAAUCAGGCUCGAGAGCCUGACCGAGGGUACUUGAAGAAAAAGCAUCGGCUAACUCCGUGCCAGCAGCCGCGGUAAUACGGAGGAUGCGAGCGUUAUCCGGAUUUAUUGGGCGUAAAGGGAACGCAGGCGGACUUUUAAGUCUGAUGUGAAAGCCUUCGGCUUAACCGGGGUAGUGCAUUGGAAACUGGGG
rnacentral:rRNA from 1 species